CGCAUCUGUGCAUGCAGCAUAUCAAUAAGCGGAGGAAAAGAAACUAACAAGGAUUCCCCUAGUAACGGCGAGUGAAGCGGGAAGAGCUCAAAUUUGAAAUCUUAAAGGGUUUCCCUUUACGAAUUGUAGUUUAAAGAAGUGUUUUCUGUUGAGGUUUUGGUAAAAGUUCUUUGGAAUAGGACAUCAUAGAGGGUGAGAAUCCCGUAUUUGACCUUUACUUUCAACUUUGUGAUACACUUUCAAAGAGUCGGAUUGUUUGGGAAUGCAGUCCAAAAUGGGUGGUAAAUUUCAUCUAAAGCUAAAUAUUGGCGAGAGACCGAUAGCGAACAAGUACCGUGAGGGAAAGAUGAAAAGAACUUUGAAGAAGAGAGUUAAACAGUACGUGAAAUUGUCAAAAGGGAAGCGUUUGACACCAGUGUUGUUUUUCUGAAAAUCAAUUAAAGAACUCGUUUAUGCUAAGUUGUUUAGACUUUAUCAGCUAUACUGUUUAGUUUUGAGCUUUUCUUUAAUGCACUUUUCAGUUAACAAGUUAACAUCAAUUUCCUUUUGCUGUAAAAAAGCUUGAGGAAGGUGGCUUGAGAUUCGUCUUAAGUGUUUAUAGCCUCUUGCCUAUGCAGUCGGAGAGAUUGAGGUCUGCAGCGUAGAUCCUUCGGGGCUAAAUGCAUUUGUGCUAAGUUAUAGCAUUUUAUAGACAACUUGUUGACUAUGAUUUGUCUUGUAGCUUACUCGCUUAUGUUAUCUUACCUACGCUUAGGAUGUUGAAUCUGUGCGAGACUAC
rnacentral:rRNA from 1 species